rnacentral:rRNA from 1 species
UACAGAGGUCUCAAGCGUUGUUCGGAUUCAUUGGGCGUAAAGGGUGCGUAGGCGGCGCGGUAAGUCGGGUGUGAAAUCUUGGAGCUUAACUCCGAAACUGCAUUCGAUACUGCCGUGCUUGAGGACUGGAGAGGAGACUGGAAUUUACGGUGUAGCGGUGAAAUGCGUAGGAUAAUCGUAAGGAAGACCAGUGGCGAAGGCGGGUCUCUGGACAGUUCCUGACGCUGAGGCACGAAGGCCAGGGGAGCAAACGGG